rnacentral:lncRNA from 1 species
GAGAGCCUUUGGCUGCUUCUGAGACCGGCUGUGGGCUGCCACCGCUGAGCGGCGCGGAGGCUGCAGCGUUCCCUCUCAGGACAGAAAGCAGGCGUUGGGGACUGUUACUCGCAGCCUGCCAGGGGCAGCAGCCGCCCCAGGUUCAAGUGGCUAUGUGCCAGGAUACUCAGGCGCGGCUGUUGGCUGCCCAUGGGAGAGCCAGUGCUCUCCGCAGGUCCAAAGUGCAAGGCCGGGCUAUUCCCGGACUUGCCUAGGAGCAGGGGCCCCCAGCGCGUCUGGGAUUGCCCCGGCGCGUCGGGCGCGCGAACUUGUGCGCAAGGGAGAAGAGCGCUUACCAUGGAACAUGGUCUGCGGGAGGCGGGCGUAGUCAUGAUGACCGCAACUGGAGCAGGAGCAAGCUCUCACCGCCCAUAGUCACUCCCAGGACCCUGGUCUUCCGCGGAGUUGCCGAGUCUGUGUUGGGCAGGGUGAUCUCUGCAGCUGGUUCCUCUUACCCACGCCGCGACUGCAGUUUCAUCCAUCCCAAGGGGGGCGGCACACACUACGGCGUGGCUCUGCGCUUUGCCUUUUCCAUAACUUCCGUAGGAUCCGCCAGCAGUGUACUUUCAGUUUCUACUUUGCGCUUGGUCUGCAGGUUCAAUCUUUGGGAUCAUCAGCAUGGAAUCUUCAUUAUCCCCUCUCUCCUGGGCACCUGCUUCCCGCGCACCUGGAUGAGGACCAGAGGAAUUCGCGAAUUUCCGAAUCACCGCAGGAAAAACCAGCUGGCCUGAAUCAAAGCAAUUCUGGGUAAAAGACUUCCCAGAUGAUCUCUCAACGCCUUGGCAACGCUUGGCGACUGGGAGCUAGAACCAUGAGUUGUUAAUGUGUGCACGGAAGCCACAAGUGUGCAGGACGCAAGCUGGGUUAUUGGAAGCGGACGACACCAAGGAGGCGUUGCCGCGGAUGUGGUGGACGAUGCCAAGUCGUCUUUUAAAAAAGGAAGUGAAGAAUGAUUAAGAGGGUCACGCCCUCUACCACUCCAACCUCUCUAAUCAGUCUCUUUCUGCUCCGUCUGCUGUACAUGCACCUGCUCAGGUGAGACCUCAAGGAAAAAUAAUCCUGUGGGUCCACCUAAUCUGACAACCACAGUUGCUAACAGUAUGAGUUCUGCAGUUAUACAGAACUAAGUCCAUUAGCUGUGUGACCCAUGGCCAAAUAUUUUCCUUCUCUGUGCCUGCAUUUCUUCAUCUGCAAACUGGAAUAAUGAUAGCAACUACUUCAGAGGACUAUGCUAGAGUGCAAUGGCGCAAUCUUGGCUCACUGCAACCUCC